rnacentral:lncRNA from 1 species
GUCUAAGUCCAGUGUCUCAGGCAGCCUCAGGUUGCCUGUGUCCCUUUACCAGGAUGUUAGACUACUGAGCUUUUGGUAGAACUAUGCUACCUCUAUGAGCUGUGGUCAAAUCAUCCGGUACCCCAGGCAGUCCCUGGCCUUUUCACUUGUUUGUUGAAUGGUCUGAAAAAUGUUCCCUGCUGGGCAGUAAAAAAAUACUUGCAACGUAGCAAGCAUGGCCAUCUCCUCCCUGGCUUUUGCCCUGCGAGAGUUCCUCGUUCACCUUAAUUCACUGGUUUCGUCUGUACUCACUUUGGUUUUGUUUUGGUUUUUUAACAGCAUAUUGGUUAUCUUGCUGUACAGACCCAAGUGGAGACAAAGCACUCGUUUUUGCUGUGAGAGGGGUAGCCAGAUCUAUACCCACACUUCUGGACCUGACAUCUCUUAGAUCGUAAUGAUAAAGGCCAAAGAUAAGCCUGAGGAGAGUGGUGCAAAACCUAAGCAUGUGCUUAGUAACAGAGGAACCCAAACUGAAAGCAAGAAGCCUCUGGAAGAGACAAAAAGUGGGAAAAAGCUGGAUGAAAACAAGGGAGCAUGUGAGAAGGUGAACGCUUCUAGUGCAGUAGCCCACAAAGCUGACUCCAAACCCCAAGUUAAAGAGAGGACAGCGCAGCAGCAACUAGUAGACGGUGCUGGCAAAACACACAGCUCUAAGAGCUGUCAACAGCAAAAGGACGUUGGUGUCAAAGCUUUGAAUCAACACAAUGGUCUUCCCUUCGUAAAUCAAGAUCAUGUAGGCAACCAAAAUGUUCCUGCUAAAGCACACGAUAUGGACAGAGCCCCACGCCUAGAUAAGUGCCACAGACAGCUUGUUCAUCAGAAACUCAGAGAGAAUGAAAACAAACCUCCAUCGUCAAGUGCGGCAUCCCGGGAAGCUGUGCCCUCCACAUCCCAGGCUAUAUCUGACACAGGGUGUGAAGUGACACAUACCAGGUAAUGGCCUUGCUGGUAGCUUUCUGUGUGAUGUGAAACCGUUUCACGUGUUAGAAGGAAAAAAAAAAAAA